GACCUCGUAGCUCAGUUGGCAGAGCAUUGGACUAGUAUCCCAAAGGUCGCGGGUUCGAUUCCCAGCGUGGUCA
rnacentral:tRNA from 1 species